rnacentral:rRNA from 1 species
AGCGAACGCUGGCGGCAGGCUUAACACAUGCAAGUCGAGCGGGCGUAGCAAUACGGAGUGGCAGACGGGUGAGUAACGCGUGGGAACCUACCUUACGGUCGGGAAUAGCUCAGGGAAACUUGGGGUAAUACCGGAUACGCCCUUACGGGGAAAGAUUUAUCGCCGUUAGAUGGGCCCGCGUAGGAUUAGCUAGUUGGUGAGGUAAUGGCUCACCAAGGCGACGAUCCUUAGCUGGUCUGAGAGGAUGAUCAGCCACACUGGGACUGAGACACGGCCCAGACUCCUACGGGAGGCAGCAGUGGGGAAUAUUGGACAAUGGGCGCAAGCCUGAUCCAGCCAUGCCGCGUGAGUGACGAAGGCCUAGGGUUGUAAAGCUCUUUUGGCGGGGAAGAUAAUGACGGUACCGCAGAAUAAGCUCCGGCUAACUUCGUGCCAGCAGCCGCGGUAAU